UCGGCUGAAUGGAUUCGAAAAUGGUAAAACUCAACUGUUUAACUCUAGGGGAGUUGGAAAAUGAGCCUAUUUUCAAAAAAGUGGAGUGUUCCUUUAAAUAUUUGAUCUCCAUGCACAAGAUUAAGUGGGGUGGUCGAAACCAAGAAGGAGGAGGCACCACCUUGGGUGAAGAGGUGGAACAAGUAAACAGCUUCUUGUGGAGAACUGCUAUAUGCAGUAAAUACAUGACCAAAGGAGACAAAAGCACAAAUUCAGGAGGAGUCCCUAAACCUUGAUGCACUAAAGACAGAGUUUGCAGUAACAGAUGACACGCUUAAAGACUGGACCAGUGAGAUCCAGCAGUGGGCUGACACAGCAACAAGUAAGGAGAAUGCAAGCAGUCAACAGGGACUCCAGAAGACAAGUGAGACUCUUUAUGUGAGCAUCAGGCAGAGGAAGCGAGAUCUUUACCGUCAAACAGAUGGAAACGAGAGAAGACUCCGUAGAAAAAUUUUGGAGGAAAAGGCCAAAUUUAGUGCGGCUGUAGAUGAGUACAACAGGGAAGCACCUGAAAAGCUGCAGUCAGCUGACACCAUUCUGGCAUCUGAGAGCUGUGCAUGGCCAUGGGUGCUGGAUGAGCGUGAUAAUCUUGUCACCGAAAAAAGGGCAUUUGACCAACUGAUGCUGCUGAAGCGCCUUACCGAAGAGGAGUGCAUUGUCCUGAAUGAAAUCAGGAAUCACUGGAAAAGCCUCAAAAGGGAUCUGUCUCUUCUAAAUGACCUUUCAUGUCAUGUUGCUGUUGAUAUAAAAAAGAACUAACAGGACUCUGGACUUUCCAAAAGUGGAAUUCUGGGACUUCACGCUCUACUACAGAAAAAAACUAUGCUACCUAAAAAGUCACAUCUCCUCGGUUCGGCAGCUGUAUGGUAGUGUCCUAGACAAUUGUGAGGUGUGUGAGAAACUGCAAGAUGAUGAUUACCUUGACAUGGAUGAGGAUUAUAUCCAGUAUGGUUCAGAGGAUGAGCAGGAGGAUGAAGACGAAGUUUCAUUUGAAAUUUAAAACUUUGUAAAUCAUUACUGUGGAAAAACUGAGCAACAUACACUAAAUACUCAUUUAAUUUCCAUUAAAUCUUAACUGUCUAUAUUACUUGAUAAAACACUGACAAGGUGUUGUGCAAAUGUGUAAUCCUACUGUUAAAUUCUUGUUUUUAUAUUACAUUUCAUAAUUGACAUGGUAAAAAUUACACUGUAAAACAUUACUUGCACUCACUAUUAUUUAUUGUUAAAUAGCUUCUUGAUGUAACAAACCUGUAAUAUUCAUGACUAUCUGUACAAUGUUUUACCAAAAUGUACCAAAUUUGUGACAAAUUCAGACAGAGUACCUGCCAACCAAUUUUAUUGUUUUCAGUAUGAGUGUGCUGCAGAUUUCAUGUAAUGGGGUAGAUGUUUGGAAAUGCAGUGACCUGUCCAAUAAAUGUGCUAAACUGCUUUGCUCUAGAGCUGAUAUGUUACUAAAAUGCCUACCUAGGUCCUUUUUCAUCCUUGCCCUAAUAGACUGAUUGACAACUGGUUAAUUUGAUUUAUAGCCCAUUUCAGGUGAGUACUACUGGAUUUAUGUGUGUAAUGAUUCAAACUCAUUUAUUCAAACUUAUUUCAGGCUUAAGACUGUUUUCAGAAGCUUACAUGUGCUACAUUUUUUUUUUUAAAAGCCUAAAAACAGCUCAAACAUGCAUUUUAGUCCAGGACUAUCAUAAGCAUUGUCUGUGAAACCAGAGGGUAAA